UACGUAGGGCGCAAGCGUUGUCCGGAAUUAUUGGGCGUAAAGAGCUCGUAGGCGGUCUGUCGCGUCUGCCGUGAAAACCCGAGGCUUAACCUCGUGGCUUGCGGUGGAUACGGGCAGACUAGAGGUAGGUAGGGGAGAAUGGAAUUCCCGGUGUAGCGGUGAAAUGCGCAGAUAUCGGGAGGAACACCAGCGGCGAAGGCGGCAUCCUGGACUGGUCCUGACACUCAGGAGCGAAAGCGUGGGGAGCGAUCCGG
rnacentral:rRNA from 1 species